UACGUAGGGUGCAAGGCGUUGUCCGGAAUUAUUGGGCGUAAAGAGCUCGUAGGCGGUUUGUCGCGUCUGCUGUGAAAACUCGGGGCUUAACUCCGGGCCUGCAGUGGGUACGGGCAGACUAGAGUGCGGUAGGGGAGACUGGAAUUCCUGGUGUAGCGGUGAAAUGCGCAGAUAAUCAGGAGGAACACCGGUGGCGAAGGCGGGUCUCUGGGCCGUAACUGACGCUGAGGAGCGAAAGCGUGGGGAGCGAACAGG
rnacentral:rRNA from 1 species